AGAAGCAACUCCUCAUCCGUUAAAGUUUUACCAUGAGAUUGCAGCAAUUCAGUCAUAUCUUCAGGCUCCACUUCUAAUUCUAGUUCUCUUGCUAUUUCCACCACAUGUGCAAUUACUUCCUCCGCUGAAGUCUUGAACCCCACAAAGUCAUCCAUGAGGCCUGAAGAGACACAAGAGGAGAUGGAGAACGAAAUGACAGUGGAAUGCCGAAGGGGAGAAAAGUUUCGUUCUUAUCUGUCUCAAACAUCACUGAAGCAUGUGAAACAUUGUCUGAUGAAUGGAAUUGGGGAGAAAAAACAAAAUCUAAUCACAUGAAGAAUUUUUUAAUCUUUAAAGAAAUUCUGAAAUGAAUAAAGCAAAGGAAAUGAAGGAUUCAAUACCAAAAUCACAA